CAAGGACCAAAAAAUCAUGAGGAAAUCAUUAUGAAAAGAUAAGGAUAAGAUAAAAUUAAGGAAAGAGAUUGGAAAUAAAACAAAAGAUAAGAAAAACCUAACUCUCUUUGAUUGUAAAAGAGGUAGUUGUUAAAGCAAAAUCAUCUUCCCUUCGGCUUGACACUGCACAAGCAUUUCCCUACUACAACACUUUUUCUUCUUCAUAUUUCUUUUCUCCUUUAAUCACUAAAAAA
rnacentral:lncRNA from 1 species